CGACACAGCAAGAGAUGGCUGAAGGGCAACCACAAUACAGUUUUGUUGAAAUCAACACCUUCUAUCAGGCCUAUCGUCCAGAUGGCUCUGUGGAAGAAAUGGAGAAGCUAAUAUAAUAUAUAAGGAUGAAAAUUACCAGUAGAUUUGAUAUUGUUUAAGUGACUGAAGACUUCCCCCCCUCCCCAAGAUAAAAUGCA